rnacentral:rRNA from 1 species
GACGGGUGAGUAACACGUGGGUAACCUGCCUAAAAGAAGGGGAUAACAUUUGGAAACAGAUGCUAAUACCGCAUAAAUCCAAGAACCGCAUGGUUCUUGGCUGAAAGAUGGCGUAACUAUCGCUUUUGGAUGGACCCGCGGCGUAUUAACUAGUUGGUGGGGUAACGGCCUACCAAGGUGAUGAUACGUAGCCGAACUGAGAGGUUGAUCGGCCACAUUGGGACUGAGACACGGCCCAAACUCCUACGGGAGGCAGCAGUAGGGAAUCUUCCACAAUGGACGCAAGUCUGAUGGAGCAACGCCGCGUGAGUGAAGAAGGUCUUCGGAUCGUAAAACUCUGUUGUUAGAGAAGAACACGAGUGAGAGUAACUGUUCAUUCGAUGACGGUAUCUAACCAGCAAGUCACGGCUAACUACGUGCCAACAGCCGCGGUAAUACGAU